CAGUAGCCGCGGGAAUACGAAGGGGGCUAGCGUUGCUCGGAAUGACUGGGCGUAAAGGGCGUGUAGGCGGGUCUUUAAGUGAGGGGUGAAAGGUUUGGGCUUAACCCAGACACUGCCUUUCAUACUGGAGACCUUGAGUGCGGGAGAGGCGAGUGGAAUGGUCGGUGUAGCGGUGAAAUGCGUAGAUAUCGAUCGGAACACCCAUGGCGAAGGCAGCUCGCUGGCCUGUAACUGACGCUGAGACGCGAAAGCGUGGGGAGCAAACAGGAUUAGAUACCCGAGUAGUCCCUGUCUCUUAUAC
rnacentral:rRNA from 1 species